rnacentral:misc_RNA from 1 species
GAACGCAUAUGGCACCUUUUGGUUUCUACCAAGAGGUAUGCCUGUUUGAGAAUCAUUUAUCCCUUUUGAUCCACUCGAUCGCAUCCUUCUGGUUGUGAUCCCCUGCUGGUCAAGACAUGGACCUUCAUCACUGAUCGUCUUGAAUUCAUGCACGGUUGUUCGUGACAAGGAGCUACUCCGUUGAUCGACCAAUCUGUCAACUUUUACAAUGAUCUCAAAUCAGGCAAGACUACCCGCUGAACUUAAG